GUGCUUGCUCCAGCAGCACAUAUAUUAAAAUGAGAACAAUAUAGAGAAGAUUAGCAAGACCCCUUUGCAAGGAUGACAUGCAAAUUUGUGAAGUGUCCCAUAUUUUG
ensembl:snRNA U6 U6 spliceosomal RNA